GUGGCAGCCGCCGCGGUAAUACGGAGGGUGCGAGCGUUAAUCGGAAUUACUGGGCGUAAAGGGCGCGUAGGCGGUCGCGCAAGUCGGGUGUGAAAGCCCCGGGCUCAACCUGGGAAUUGCAUUCGAUACUGCGUAACUAGAGUCUGGUAGAGGGAAGCGGAAUUCCGCAUGUAGCGGUGAAAUGCGUAGAUAUGCGGAGGAACACCAGUGGCGAAGGCGGCUUCCUGGACCAAGACUGACGCUGAGGCGCGAAAGCGUGGGGAGCAAACAGGAUUAGAUACCCUGGUAGUCCACGCCCUAAACGAUGAGGACUAGACGUUGGGGGGAUAAAACCCUUUAGUGUCGCAGCUAACGCGUGAAGUCCUCCGCCUGGGGAGUACGGCCGCAAGGUUGAAACUCAAAUGAAUUGACGG
rnacentral:rRNA from 1 species